rnacentral:rRNA from 1 species
AACGAACGCUGGCGGCAUGCCUAACACAUGCAAGUCGAACGAGACCUUCGGGUCUAGUGGCGCACGGGUGCGUAACGCGUGGGAACCUGCCCUUAGGUUCGGAAUAACUCCCCGAAAGGGGUGCUAAUACCGGAUAAUGUCUUCGGACCAAAGAUUUAUCGCCUUUGGAUGGGCCCGCGUUGGAUUAGCUAGUUGGUAGGGUAAAAGCCUACCAAGGCGACGAUCCAUAGCUGGUCUGAGAGGAUGAUCAGCCACACUGGGACUGAGACACGGCCCAGACUCCUACGGGAGGCAGCAGUGGGGAAUAUUAGACAGUGGGCGAAAGCCUGAUACAGCAAUGCCGCGUGUGUGAUGAGGGCCUUAGGGUUGUAAAGCUCUUUUACCCGGGAUGAUAAUGACAGUACCGGGAGAAUAAGCGCCGGCUAACUCCGUG